GGAACGUUGAAGACGACGACGUUGAUAGGCCAGGUGUGUAAGCGCAGCGAUGCGUUGAGCUAACCGGUACUAAUGAACCGUGAGGCUUAACCUUACAACGCCGAAGCUGUU
rnacentral:rRNA from 1 species